ACACUGGAACUGAAACACGGUCCAGACUCCCACGGGAGGCUGCAGUGGAGAAUUUUGCGCAAUGGGCGAAAGCCUGACGCAGCGACGCCGCGUGAGGGAUGAAGGUCUUCGGAUCGUAAACCUCUGUCAAGAAGGAGUAAACGUGCGCAUACGAAUAAUAUGUGCAUCUGACAUUACUUCUAGAGGAAGUCCCGGCUAAUUACGUGCCAGCAGCCGCGGUAAUACGUAGGGGGCAAGCAUUACUCGGAAUUACUGGGUGUAAAGCGAGCGUAGGCGGUUUGGUAAGUUAGUGGUGAAAGUCCCCGGCUUAACCGGGGGAUUGCCAUUAAAACUGCCAGACUAGAGGACAAGAGAGGAAAGUGGAAUUCCUAGUGUAGCGGUGGAAUGCGUAGAGAUUAGGAAGAACACCGGAAGCGAAGGCGGCUUUCUGGAUUGGUCCUGACGCUGAGGUUCGAAAGCUAGGGUAGCGAACAGGAUUAGAUACCCUGGUAGUCCUAGCCGUAAACGAUGGAUACUAGACUUUGCAUUUGCCGGGUCGUCGUUAACGCGUUAAAGUAUCCCACCUGGGUAGUACGAUUUCACAAGGUUGAAACUCAAAGGAAUUGACGGGGACUCGCACAAGCAGUGGAGCAUGUGGUUUAAUUCGAUGCAACCCGAAAAACCUUACCUGGGCUUGAACUUUGGGCAUUAGCCCCCUGAAAGGGUGGGUGAUCCGACUCUGUCGGAACCCAGAGAGGUGCUGCAUGGCUGUCGUCAGUUCGUGUCGUGAGAUGUUGGGUUAAGUCCCGCAACGAACAAAACCCUUGUUCUUAGUUGUCAGC
rnacentral:rRNA from 1 species